rnacentral:rRNA from 1 species
UGGGGAAUAUUGGACAAUGGGCGAAAGCCUGAUCCAGCCAUGCCGCGUGUGUGAAGAAGGUCUUCGGAUUGUAAAGCACUUUAAGUUGGGAGGAAGGGCUGUCGGCUAAUACCCUGCAGUUUUGACGUUACCAACAGAAUAAGCACCGGCUAACUUCGUGCCAGCAGCCGCGGUAAUACGAAGGGUGCAAGCGUUAAUCGGAAUUACUGGGCGUAAAGCGCGCGUAGGUGGUUCAGCAAGUUGGAUGUGAAAGCCCCGGGCUCAACCUGGGAACUGCAUCCAAAACUACUGAGCUAGAGUACGGUAGAGGGUGGUGGAAUUUCCUGUGUAGCGGUGAAAUGCGUAGAUAUAGGAAGGAACACCAGUGGCGAAGGCGACCACCUGGACUGAUACUGACACUGAGGUGCGAAAGCGUGGGGAGCAAACAGG